AACCUUGCGGUCGUACUCCCCAGGCGGAACACUUAAUGCGUUAACUGCGGCACAGCAGGGGUCAAUACCCGCUACACCUAGUGUUCACCGUUUACUGCGUGGACUACCAGGGUAUCUAAUCCUGUUUGCUCCCCACGCCUUCGCGCCUCAGCGUCAGUAUUGGUCCAGGAAGUCGCCUUCGCCAUCGGUGUUCCUCCUGAUAUCUACGAAUUUCACCUCUACACCAGGAAUUCCACUUCCCUCUCCCAUACUCAAGCUCCUUAGUUUCAAAUGCACUUCCGGGGUUAAGCCCCGGGCUUUCACAUCUGACUUAAAAAGCCGCCUACGCGCCCUUUACGCCCAAUAAAUCCGAAUAACGCUUGCACCCCCCGUAUUACCGCGGCUGCUGGCACGGAGUUAGCCGGUGCUUCCUUCAGUGGUACCGUCAAUGAAAGACAGUAUUAAUGCCUAACAGUUUCUUCCCACUUGACAGAGUUUUACGACCCGAAAGCCUUCAUCACUCACGCGGCGUUGCUGCGUCAGGGUUUCCCCCAUUGCGCAAAAUUCCUCA
rnacentral:rRNA from 1 species